AUUGAACGCUGGCGGCAUGCCUUACACAUGCAAGUCGAACGGUAACAGGUCUUCGGAUGCUGACGAGUGGCGAACGGGUGAGUAAUACAUCGGAACGUGCCUAGUAGUGGGGGAUAACUACUCGAAAGAGUGGCUAAUACCGCAUGAGAUCUACGGAUGAAAGCAGGGGAUCGCAAGACCUUGUGCUACUAGAGCGGCCGAUGGCAGAUUAGGUAGUCGGUGGGAUAAAAGCUUACCAAGCCGACGAUCUGUAGCUGGUGUGAGAGGACGAUCAGCCACACUGGGACUGAGACACGGCCCAGAUGCCUACGGGAGGCAGCAGUGGGGAAUUUUGGGCAAUGGGCGAAAGCCUGAUCCAGCAAUGCCGCGCGCAGGAUGAAGGCCUUCGGGUUGUAAACUGCUUUUGUACGGAACGAAAAGCCCCGGGUUAAUACCCUGGGGUCAUGACGGUACCGUAAGAAUAAGCACCGGCUAACUACGUGCCAGCAGCCGCCGUAA
rnacentral:rRNA from 1 species